rnacentral:rRNA from 1 species
GACGAACGCUGGCGGCGUGCCUAAUACAUGCAAGUAGGACGCAGUUGCGAACGGGUGAGUAACGCGUAGGUAACUACCUAUUAGAGGGGGAUAACUAUUUGACACGAUAGCUAAUACCGCAUACUAGUAGAUGGACCUGCGUUGUAUUAGCUAGUAGGUAGGGGAAUGGCCUACCUAGGCAACGAUACAUAGCCGACUGGGGAGGGUGGAGGGCCAAAAUGGGAAUGGGAAAAGGGCCAGACUCCAACGGGAGGGAGCAGGAGGGAAUCUUCGGAAAUGGGGGGAACCCUGACCGAGCAAAGCCGCGUGAGGGAAGAAGGUUUUCGGAUCGUAAAGCUCUGUUGUUAAGGAAGCGGUACUUAACCAGAAAGGGACGGCUAACUACGUGCCAGCAGCCGCGGUAAUAC